AUUGAACGCUGGCGGCAGGCCUACCACAUGCAAGUCGAACGAGCGGCGGACGGGUUAGUAAUGUCUGGGGAUCUGCCUGAUGGCGGGGUGUAACUACUGGAACCGGUCGCUACUACCGCCUACCAUCGGAUGUCCCCAGAUUGGCUUAGCUUGUAGGUGAGGUAACGGCUCACCUAGGCGACGAUCCCUCGCUGGUCUGAGAGGAUGAUCAGCCACACUGGGACGGAGACACUGUCCAGACUCCGACGGGAGGCAGCAGUGGGGAACAGUGAACAAGGGGAGCAAGCCUGAUGCAGCCAGGCCGAGUGUAUGAAGAAGGCCUUCGGGUUGUAAAGUACUUUCAGCCGGGAGGCGUUACCAUCAGAAGAAGCACGGGCUAACUCCGUGCCAGCAGCCGCGGUAAUUC
rnacentral:rRNA from 1 species